GCAAUUUGGUUUCCGGAGCAUAACUUAAGUUCCAUUUGGCCCACAAUAUUCAAACUUCAUAGGAUGAUUGUCCAUAUUGGGUAGAAGACCCCUAUUGAUUUUGGGGUCAUAAGGUCAAGGUCACUAUGACCUUAAAACUGAAAACAGUUUCCGGAGCAUAACUUAAGUUCCAUUUGGCACACAGUGUUCAAUCUUCAUAGGAUGAUUGACGAUAUUGGGUAGAAGACCCCUAUUGAUUUUGGGGUCACAAGGUCAAAGGUCAAGGUCACUAUUACCUUAGAACUGAAAACAGUUUCCGGAGCAUAACUUAAGUUCUAUUUGGCCCACAGUGUUCAAACUUCAUAGGAUGAUUGUCCAUAUUGGGUAGAAGACCCCUAUUGAUUUUGGGGUCACAAGGUCAAAGUCACUAUUACCUUAAAACUGAAAACAGUUUUCAGAAUAUAACUUAAGUAUCAUUUGGCCUACUGUGUUUAAACUUCAUAGUAUGAUUGUCCAUAUUGGGUAAAAGACCCCUAAUGAUUUUGGGGUCACAAGGUCAAAGGUCAAGGUCACUUUUACCUUAGAAUUGAAAACAGUUUCUGGGACAUAACUUAAAGUUCCAUUUGGACCACAAUAUUGAAACUUCAAAGGAGGAUUGUUAUUUGAAGGAGGUAAUACUUUAUUUUAGUCCCAUGUCUUACAAAUGCU